rnacentral:rRNA from 1 species
UACGAAGGGUGCAAGCGUUAAUCGGAAUUACUGGGCGUAAAGCGUGCGUAGGCGGUUCGUUAAGUCAGCUGUGAAAGCCCCGGGCUCAACCUGGGAACUGCGGUUGAAACUGGCGAACUAGAAUCUGGCAGAGGGGGGUGGAAUUCCACGUGUAGCAGUGAAAUGCGUAGAGAUGUGGAGGAACACCGAUGGCGAAGGCAGCCCCCUGGGUCAACACUGACGCUCAUGCACGAAAGCGUGGGGAGCAAACAGG